GUUCCCUUAGCUCAGUGGUUAGAGCGUGCGAUUGCAAUCCAUGAAUAUACUCGCGCACCCAUCGCAAGGUCCCGCGUUCAAAUCGCGGAGGGAACU